CUUUCCUUAGCGCCUCGCUCCUCUUGCAUGAGUUUUUGCAUGGGAAGAGAAUAAGGUUUGCUCUUCUGCUCCAGGCUUGGCUUGUGCUGCACCUCGAGGAGGCCUCAUUGAGACCUGCUGCAGCCUCUGUGCCCAAACACCCCCUCUUUUGGGGGGAGGCUGAUCCGGCCCAGCCGCAUGAUCGCAGUCAGGUGACGACGCCGAGCACAAAAGCAGCGCGGGAUAAGCAGCUCAGCGUGGCAGAUCAGCUGCUGCCCCGGCCCCUCUGCGAGCUGCUACUGCUCAGGGAAAAUGAGCACCUGGCCCCCUCCUCUGCUCUGGAGCCUCACCACGGUGUGUCUGACAGGUAUUGCUUUAGGCCAGACAACCACCACUCAGGCCCCUGUUGCAUCAACCUCGCUACUUCUGAGUGCUGCUACCACCCAAGUCCCUGUUGCACCAACCCAAAUGUCUUCUGUUGCCACCGCGACCUCAGCCCCCCCAUCCCCAUCUUCUGCUGGAAUGCUCUCAGUUGGAACAGUGACAAACCUCACCAGCCCUACAGUUGUGCCAUCUGCUGUCUCAAGCACAAACUCUCCCUCUCCAACUCUGCCCACCACCCCACGCAUCACUGCACUCACCUCUGGGAUUGCAACCACCCCUCAUGCACCCACAGCACCAAUGGCCACAUCCAGCAGUCCCUGGGCCACCCCUCCAGAUGUAACUGCAUCUCCUGGGGUCCCAUCAGUGGUCCCGUUUCUCAGCACCAUUGAGCCCUCAAACUGCAGCAGAGUGAAUGUGACAACAUGUGCUCCUUGCUCCCCAGGGACCAUUCCCAGCAAUGACACCUGGAGCUGCUUGUGCUGCACGGAGGGCUCAUGUGUGGACCCUGGUGCCUGUGCUCCUUGCCCUGUGGGACACUACCAGCCUGAGAGGGGACAGCAGCAGUGCCUGCCGUGUCCAAAGGGACGUUACGCCAAGUUAUUUUAGCUCACAGCAAAAUGCAGCUUCUUGUCUGCCUUGCCUGCCUGGAUCGUUCUGCAACACCACCAGCUGCACGCUGUGUCUGGCCUGUCCUGCUGGGCGUGAGGCUCCACGGGAGGCUGCUGAGGAGUGUACACUGUGCCGGGCAGGUACGUUCAAAGGUCUGGGUGAUGACACCUGCAAGCCCUGCGAGCCAGGGGAAUACCAACUGCAGCAGGGCCAGGAGAGCUGUGACCUGUGUCCAGAGAACCACUACUGCCCUAGCCCAGAUGUGAACCCAAUCAAGUGCCCUCCUGAUGCCUUCUGCCCUGUGGGCAGCACUGAGCCCCAGUACUGCAUGGAGAUCUUCCUGUACAAGGUGGGCAGCUCCUGCCAGCUGACGCCACUGGUGAUCGUCCUCCUGGCCCUCUUCUCAGCAGGCGCAAUUCUUAUAAUCUUUGUACUAAUUCUGAGAAGAAGGCAAGAACACAGCACAAAGUCUUUGAAGUCCCUGCUGCUACCACAAGGAUCAGAGCAGCACACAACGUAUGGAGUGAUGGAGCACACAGAGCCGGUGUAUGCUGGCUGGUAGAGGGGGAAAGGCAACCUGCAAGCACUGUGUUCCCUUUUCUGUAGGGUAAUGCACGCGUGUGUAUAUGUGAAAGAAGUUUGACCGUCACCAACCUAUUUCCGUAUUGCUAAAAUAAGCACAGAGAAAUGAAAUGCAAGUCAUUUUUCAGCUGUGCCUUUCUGUGCUGACCAACCUGGCUGGAUGCUGUUCUACAUCAAAUGGAUUUACAGCAGAAGCUUCCCCCUCUAAUUCCUAGCUCCACUCGCAAUAAAUACUUCUUUUUUUCCUUUCCUUAAGAAAUUUCAGCAGUCAGCUCAACUGCUGGAACAAAGAACAGCUGCUGCAGAUACUGGACUUCCCACAGCACAAUUGCUUCUACCCGAGCAGGAACUAACACAAAUAUUCCUCCUUUAAGGAAGAUGCACGUUUACUUAUUUAUUUGCCCUUCUCAAAACUUUACCUAUACUUGAAACUGAGGGUCAGCUGAAAAAAGGAAUCCCACACUUUUCCCUUCCUCUCAGCUGUGGGAAAACACGUGCAGCUGAACUUAUGGUUGACUCCUGGACAAAUGUGUCCCUUCUGUUUCCUGCUGUGGUGCUGCGGUCUCUCAUGCAGUGCUUCAUAUUACUCCACAGAGCUACAGAAGCAACACCCUCCUCCUCCUUCUCCAGUGCAAUUCAUUCGCAUACCAUGCAGGCUGCAAAGCCCUGCUCAGAUCAUCCAGCUGUGACACUUCCACAGCGCUGUGCUUCAUCAGCUCUGAGAGCCCUGGUAAAAAUAGUACUUAAUAUUGUGAGAGCUGUGCUUUCAAGUGAGUGUGCACGGAGGUGGAAGCAGGUGUUACUUCUCACUGGAGCCCUUUCCCUGAGCUAAAGCAGCAGCAGCCAGCUGAAGGAACCCAGCUGGUGGGGGUUAAGUGGCUGCUGCCCUCCACUGCUCAUUCUUCUCAUCCCUGGGGAGGUUAUUGUGCUUUUCAAGAAAAAGGAAAUAAACAACCGCCAAAAAAAAGCAGUUCUCUGAUCUGUUUCAGAUCUGUCAGAUGAGUAAACGGACGGGAAGAGAGGUGUGUUAUCCUCUGUGGUAAGCAGUAAUGCAGCUGG
ensembl:lncRNA